rnacentral:lncRNA from 1 species
GGCGACGUGAUCAGAUGACCUGUGCGGGCGGCAGCCUCCUGCCCUCCUCCCCUUCGUGCGCCGGCUGGAGCGAAGAGUUCUUUUGACAGCCGUGAGCUUCCCCGCCAGGAACUUACUGGGGCUGCAUCACCCUAGAAACGUGGCUUUGGGCUGUGGAAACGCUGCCUCUGUGGAAGUCUCUCCUCGCGGGGGUGGACGGGUCGCUGCGCGCCCAGCGUUCUUCUGCGGUUCUCACAGCCCGCCGCCGCCGCCGCCUCGGGGACCUUUGCGGGGAGGCCUCAGGUCAGCGCCGCCCUUGCGAUGGCGGGAGAGCAGAGCGGCCCCAGGGCCUCUGAGCUCCGGCCCCGGCACGUCCCGCCCUCUCCUCCGCUUGCGGGAGCCGGGGCGCCUCGGAGGGAAACCUUCCGGACACAGGCCGGGAGAAGAGGGGCCGUGGCGCCAUCGCGCAGCUUCCUGGUUUCGGCCAUGUUUUUUUUUUUUUGAGACGGAGUUUCGCUCUUUUUGCCCAGGCUGGAGGGCAAUGGCGCCGUCUCGGCUCCCUGCAGCCGCCGCCUCCCGGGUUGAAGGGACUCUCCGGCCUCAGGCCGCGGUGUUCUUGUAAAUUAGAACCGGCCUAUGCGCCAAGCGCGGGUCUCGCGGCUGCGGAGAGAGGCCCAGCAGGGGGCGGGGACGCCGGGAGGCGGGGCCUGGCCGAGCUGCGCACACCCGGGUGGUUCUGGCUACGGGUACCCGGACCUGCCCAACGACCGUUCUCCAUUCCCGACCUCCGCACCCUACCCGGUCCGCAGGGCACCUUCCUCCUCUCUCUCAGGCACGUCCUCGACCUCAGUUGCCACGUGCACAUGCUGGUGCCUUCCAGGUCGGUCUUUCUCCACCAGACUCCACCUGGAACUUUCUUCCUUUUCGUCCUGUGCUGGCCUAACCCCUGCUCGGCCUCGGCCCUCAGCUGCCGGCUCUAACAAAGCCUCUGUCUUUCCCAGACCCCUGUGACCAGGCUGGAGUAUAGUGGCAUGAUCAUAGAUCACUGCAGCCUCAAACUCCUGGGCUCAAGCGAUCCUCCCACCUCAGCCUCCAUAUAGCUGGUGGGGACCAAGUUUCUAACACAUGAAUGUUGGGAGACACAUUCAGACCAUCGCAGUGGCCUUAUAAAAAGAGACACAAGAGCUUGCUCUCUGCCAUGUGAGAAUACCACAAGAAGACUGUCCUCAGCAAAUCAGAAAGCGGGUGGACCCUCAUCAGACACCAGAUGUGCCUGCACCUUGAUCUUGGACUUGCCAGCCUUCAGAACAGUAAGAAAGAAAUGUGUGUUGUUUAAGCCACCCAGUCUAUGGUAACUUGCUAUAGCAGCCCACUAGGAGACCCCAAGAUAUUUAAAAACUCAUCAGCACCUGCUUUCUGCAUCUGGACCCUGAUCUUCUGGCCAUCAGCUGGAUGAAGAAUUAAUUUAGUAAGCAUGAAACAGCUUGCAAAGCAUUGGUGAGUGGCUGAGGGCCAUGAAACGAGACCACCGUGUGGCCCAUCUCUGAAGAUGAAUCCAACAGCAGUGACUCUACCUGCGUCCUCCCCAUCUUUUCUGCUUUUUCAUACAAUGGCUUAUUCACUGCGUGUGACAUCAUCACUAGCACUGUGUUUAUCUAUCACAUUUCUUCUGUUUUGUGGGUUUGUUUUGCAUUAAAGGUCUACUUCUCUGAGCUUUGAGCUGUAAGGCUUGACUGUGAGCAGCAACUGAAGAGUGUGGCACCUCACACUCGGUAGGAAGAAGCUGAAUGACAGAUGUCGGCAGUGAGGGUGGGGAAAGCAGCCAGGUACCAAGCAGCUGUUUUUUAGGCUAACCAUUGAAGGGAAGCUCCUAAUCCCUGAGUUAACUUUUAGCAGAGAUUAACUCAGUCUAUCUAUUGGGAUGUAAAGGAUUUGGGCAUAAAGGUAUGUUAAUUCGGAGGCUCUGGAAUGUAUAACAAUUUCUCCCAUUGAAAUUUAUGAUAAUUAAGUGUUCAACUUACUGGAAUUUUCCCCACAAGACUCUUCUGGGAUGAAUUUGCCUUGGGGAGAAGACUACGUAACUGAAAACCAGCAUCCAGGCCCUCAAGAAGAAAUAUAAUCUCCAACAGUCUCCUUUUCAAUUUCUGUCAAAUGUCUGGCUUCUCUUGAAGGGAUGUUCACGAGAAGGGACAGCCGCCCUCCUCCGAGCCUCCUGUUUCAGCUGAUGCACCUUCAAGUACAAGGUCCUGUUCUUGGGCUCUGUUAAAGUUUCCCUCAAGAAAAAAACCUUACAUUUGCCAAUGCACUUGAUGUAAAGUUGUUGAGGAUGUUGACUCUCCUUUAAACAUUUAUUGAAGCUAGGAAUAAACUUAACUGGACCUGUGUAUAGGAAAUCUUAAAUUUCUACUAAGAGAUGAAAAAAAGAAUUCCCUUCCCUUCCUUAACAAUUCAGCUCCCGUUACACAAAACCAAACAAGAUGGGAUUCUGUUGUGGGGGGACAGAACUUCAUUGUCCUGAAGCUAGGUGUUGGAGCCCAAGCAGGGUGAGGAGGGAGUCAAGGAGGCCCAUGUGGUGGUGGAGCAUGGCCUGGCAUGGGUCUCAGUGCCCAAGCAAGGUGAAGAGGGGACCAUGCAGGGAGUGAGGGUGUCACUGCCCAAGUGAGGUGAGUAGGGCAAUUUUGAAAAGUCAUGAAAGUUGAGGAAGGGCUGAGGCACCAUUCUAGAUUGAAGGAGACUAAAAAGAUGCAACACUCACAAUGCACAAUUCUAAACUGAAAUCUUUGCUCUAAAGGACAUUAGGACAAUGAAAGAAACUUGCACGGGGUCUGAGCAUUAGGUAGUAGUAAUGAAUUGAUGUUGAGUCCCUAAUUUUCAUGGUUGUAUGCUGAUGAUGUAGGAGGUUCUUGUAGGAAAUACACACUCAAAAGUAUUCUGAGGUGAUGGGGCAUCAUAUCAGAAGCUUAUUCUCAAAUGGUUCAGGAAGGAAAAAGUUUUAUACUAUACUUCUUUGGCAAGUUUAGAUUGUUUCAAAAUAAAAUUUUUUUAAAAAGAGCAUUUGUUAACCAUCAGUUUGGUAAAAGGUGAAAAAUGUUGAUAAUACCUAGUGUUUGUGAAGGUGUGGAGAAACAAAGUUUCAUACACUAUUGUCAAAAGUAUAAAUUGUUACAAUAUUUUUGGAGAGCAAUUUUCCAGUAUGUAGCAAAAAUUUAAAAGCAAAUCUUAACUCAGCAAUUCUGCCUUUAGAAAUGUAUUUGUAGGAUAACAUACAGGAGAGAAAAAUGUAUUUUACUGCAACACUGUUGAUACUAACAAAAACUGGAAACCACCAAAACAUUUAUCAUGAGGGGGUUAAGUAAAGUAUGGUAUAACUAUACAAUGAGUGUACUAGGAAACCCUUAGAAAGAAUGCAGAAAGAUGUAUGUGGACUUUUACAGAAAGGUGAGCUACUGUCUAAAUGCAAAUGUGCCAAUAUCAUGUAUAUACAGUCAGGUUCCUUUUGUUAAAAACCAAAAGCGUAUGUUUAGAAGCAAAAGCACUCAUAUAAAGGCCUGGUAUAGAGCAGUGGCUAAAAACAGUGCCAAGAUACUGCCUCAACUUCCUCUCACAUGCUGCCCUGGUGAUACUGAGGCUGGUUCAGGAACCAUGACAGCCUGUUUGUAUGAAUUCCUUAAAGCACAAAUUACUUAGUUUCUUUCAUAACAGUCACCUAAUCCCUUAGUUUAAAAUGGUUGUGUUCAUGGAAUACUAUGCAGCCAUAAAAAAGGAGAUCACAUCCUUUGCAGCAACAUGAGUGGAGCUGGAGGCCAUUAUCCUAAGAGAACUAAUGCUGCAACGGAAAAACCAAAUACCGCAUGUUUUCACUUACAAGUGGGAGCUAAACAAUGAGAACACAUGGAUACAAAGAGGGGAAAAACAGACACUGAGGCCUACUUGAGGGUGAAGGGCAGGAGGAGGAAGAGUAUCAGAAAAAAUUCCUAUUGGGUACUAUGCUUAUUACCUGGGUGAUGAAACAAUUUGAACACCAAAUCCCUGUGACACAGUUUACCUACAUAACAAACCUGCACA